rnacentral:misc_RNA from 1 species
AACAUCGCGCACCUGCGGGAACCUGCGGAGGGAUCAUUAUUGAGUUUUAUAAGGAGAUUUGCUUUUUGGCAUCUCUCUUUUUUCUCUCUUUUUCGCCCUUUUGUUAUCAUUUUUCUCAGUUGCUUUGGCAGGUGGAUUUGCUCUCCUGCCAAGGGAUUUUUCUAAACACAUUUUUGUUAUCCAAUAAUCGGGAUAUCUCUCGUCUGAUUUCUUAUGACUUUUGAAUAAGUACAUAAAACU